rnacentral:rRNA from 1 species
UACAGAGGGUGCGAGCGUUAAUCGGAAUUACCGGGCGUAAAGCGUGCGUAGACGGUUAUUUAAGUCGGGUGUGAAAGCCCCGGGCUCAACCUGGGAAUUGCAUUCGAGACUGAAUAGCUAGGGUACGGUAGAGGGAAGUGGAAUUUCCGGUGUAGCGGUGAAAUGCGUAGAUAUCGGAAGGAACAUCAGUGGCGAAAGCGACUUCCUGGACCAGUACCGACGUUCAGGCACGAAAGCGUGGGGAGCAAACAGG